UAGUGAUCCGAAAGGUGAACGACCCGCAAGGGAGCUUGCACAGGUGUUUGCAUGGCUGUCGUCAGCUCGUGUCGUGAGAUGUUCGGUUAAGUCCGCUAACGAGCGCAACCCUCGCUCGUAUGUUACAUGUGUCAGUACAGGACCGCCGGUAUCAAGCCGGAGGAAGGUGGGGAUGACGUCAAGUCCGCAUGGCCUUUAUGUCCGGGGCUACACACACGCUACAAUGGUCGGUACAAUGGGUUGCUAAGCCGCGAGGUGGAGCCAAUCCCCCAAAGCCGGCCUCAGUUCAGAUUGCAGGCUGCAACUCGCCUGCAUGAAGCUGGAGUUGCUAGUAAACGCGCGUCAGCUAUAGUGCGUUGAAUACGUUCUCGGGCCUU
rnacentral:rRNA from 1 species